rnacentral:rRNA from 1 species
AACGAACGCUGGCGGCAUGCCUAACACAUGCAAGUCGAACGAGACCUUCGGGUCUAUUGGCGCACGGGUGCGUAACGCGUGGGAACCUGCCCUUAGGUUCGGAAUAACUCCCCGAAAGGGGUGCUAAUACCGGAUAAUGUCUUCGGACCAAAGAUUUAUCGCCCUUGGAUGGGCCCGCGUUGGAUUAGCUAGUUGGUAGGGUAAAAGCCUACCACGGCGACGAUCCAUAGCUGGUCUGAGAGGAUGAUCAGCCACACUGGGACUGAGACACGGCCCAGACUCCUACGGGAGGCAGCAGUGGGGAAUAUUGGACAAUGGGCGAAAGGCUGAUCCAGCAAUGCCGCGUGAGUGAUGAAGGCCUUAGGGUUGUAAAGCUCUUUUACCCGGGAUGAUAAUGACAGUACCGGGAGAAUAAGCUCCGGCUAACUCCGUG